rnacentral:rRNA from 1 species
GACGAACCGUGCGAACGUUAUUCGGAAUCACUGGGCUUAAAGCGCGUGUAGGCGGGACGGCACGUCGGUCGCUGAAAUCCCCCGGCUUAACCGGGGAACUGGCGGCGAUACGACCGUCCUGGAGGGGCGUAGGGGGACCUGGAACUUCCGGUGGAGCGGUGAAAUGCGUUGAGAUCGGAAGGAACGCCCGUGGCGAAAGCGAGGUCCUGGACGCCUACUGACGCUGAGACGCGAAAGCCAGGGGAGCGAACGGG